rnacentral:tRNA from 1 species
ACAACUUCUUAGCUCUAUAGAUCAAAACCAAGCCUUGACCUCGUCAAGGACUAACGUUAUGAGUUUGCUCAUACCAACGAUGGUCAUCUCGUUGAUGUCCUAAUACCUAAGAACUCACCGAUCACUCGAAGGUGCGGCCAGAGAUCUCAGCCUCGACCGCGUUCGGGUUCUCCAUUCCGUGCCGAACAGCCAGUAUGUCGAUAGCCUCGUCGGUCGUCCGAUAGGCAACGUAGUACCUGAAGGGCC